rnacentral:rRNA from 1 species
ACUACGGUGUGCUGCAGUGGGGAAUAUUGGACAAUGGGCGAAAGCCUGAUCCAGCCAUGCCGCGUGUGUGAAGAAGGCCUUCGGGUUGUAAAGCACUUUCAGUGGGGAAGAAAGCCUUGGGGCUAAUACCCUCGAGGAAGGACAUCACCCACAGAAGAAGCACCGGCUAACUCCGUGCUAGCAGCCGCGGUAAUACGGAGGGUGCGAGCGUUAAUCGGAAUUACUGGGCGUAAAGCGCGCGUAGGCGGUCUGAUAAGCCGGUUGUGAAAGCCCCGGGCUCAACCUGGGAACGGCAUCCGGAACUGUCAGGCUAGAGUGCAGGAGAGGAAGGUAGAAUUCCCGGUGUAGCGGUGAAAUGCGUAGAGAUCGGGAGGAAUACCAGUGGCGAAGGCGGCCUUCUGGACUGACACUGACGCUGAGGUGCGAAAGCGUGGGUAGCAAACAGGAUUAGAUACCCGUGUAGUC